rnacentral:lncRNA from 1 species
CAUGUGUGUGUUGAUAACACAGGGAUGACUUGCCGUUACAGUACUCUCCCAUGUCUGAAGACUCGGAUGAAGCCAGGUUCUGCGAGGACCCAAUAACAAGCACUAGCUCAUCCCAACCCGACAGCCGCCCUACUAGUCCUGUUUCGCCUUACCGAUACCAAAGACCUCUUACUUCAACAGCCUCACACCAUUUGUCAAAUUCACAUUCAUGCCCUGCCUCCAUGAGUACUAGUGCAACUCCACAGUCUCGCCAAAGAGGAUCUGAUACGGAAGGAAGGUUUCCGUCAUCGCCUAGCGAUAUCUGCCAUUCGAGUGACUUGAGAAGGACAGCUCUUCUCAGGUCUGUUCAAAUGAGAACGCAGCCUUGUGGUAUUGCUUCAAGUUCUGGGACAAGCAAUGUUGACGGUGGUGAAGAGAGGAUGUGCUUUAAGUCUAUGGAAGAAGAUAAUAGAGGGGAAGAUGUCUCUUAUACUCAAGUCUCUGGUAAGAGCAAGUCUUGUAAAGCGUUGGACAUGAGACUAUGUGAACGAUGAUUUAAAGACUCUAUUCUCUAUCUUAAAAGACGUUUUUUUCCUUCGACAUUUCCACAUUAUAUAUGUUGUGGAUUGCAAUGAAGAACACUCCACUAAAGUUUCUAAUCUGGCUCAUUGCAUAGUUAGUUUAGUUAGGCUUUGGUCGUUUGGUGGAUGUGGUUGAGAUGAUAAGCCGUCAUCACAUUCUUAAAACAGAAAUCCAAAAGAGAUAAGAAGACAAGCUUACAGAUCCAUUCAUGAUCUUGUUUAUAUAACCAUUUAUAAAUCAUUUUUGUAAUCAGAAUUUUAAAGACACCACCCUUUCUAUACCUAAGCCAAAUGUUACAAAAAAAAAAAAGUAUAAAAUUUGACGAAUAUUAAAUCUACAAAAAAAAAACUUUCUCUAGUUUGAAAUGAUGAAAGUUUUAAAAUAAAAAUGUUUUUAAAAAUGCAUGUUUUAAUUUUUCUAAUGCAAUUUUUAUUAGAUAAUAAUAAUGAACUAUAACUUUCAAAAAUAAUUGUACUUUUAAAAUAUUAUUAGUUAAGAAUUAUUGGCAUCGACAAAAAAGUUUAGAAUUAAAGGAAAUAGCUAAUUCCAGAAAAGAGUAUAUUUAUAAUCAGAUUUAAUAUUUCUUCUUAGUAUAUGUGAAACAGAAUAACAUUGAAAUUUUAGGACCAUAGAGUAUUAUUUAGCUUUAAUGAGGGGUUUUAGAAAAUAUUUUUUCUCAAAAGGAAGUGUAUUUUUCAAAUUUGAAAACAAAUUGACUCCAAAUGGUGACCAUAUAUUAGGGAACAACGAUAAGAAUAGAUUUAAUAUUCUUCAAAUUUUAUACUAACUAGAUUUUUUAACCGCGCUACGCGCGGAUAAGAUAUUAUAUGUAUUUCUCAAUUCUAAAAAAUAAUGUAUAAUAUUGUAUUAUAUUAUUUAAAGAAUAUAAAAUAAGACCACAUAAUAUAAAUAUAUUUUUUAUAUUUUCUUUGUGAAAAUCAUUAUGUUGUUUGAUUGUUGUACUUAAUUCACAUAUUUGCAUAGAUAUUUGUGAUAGAUGAAUAACUAUAUUUUUAUUAUCAGUAAAUAAUAUAUAUUUAUUAUAUAAUAUAAGAAAAAUGGAAUUAUUUACUUUUUAACAAACUUGUCUCAUGUUGGGGACUCGGUUAUAGACAUAUCAUAUUCGAAUGAAACAUUUUUACACUUAUCAAUCUUCUUAACAAUCAAGAAACAAAUCUGAAUAUCAAAACAAUAUCUCAUACGAUCUCUUUGUGGAAUAACUGCUCUGAAGAAAUUGAAUUUAUGCAUCAAAAAGGACUGGAAAUGGAUGUGCAUAUGUGUUAUCUAAGUCAGCUUUACAAAAAACUAUUUAUAGUUCAUAUAUCAUUUAUGUCCAUCCUAUUUUUUUGUCCAUCAUUUCUUAAACAUCUUGAAAUAAGUAAUGCUAAUUAAUAAUAAACUUUUUACUCACAAAAUAAAAAUCAAAUUUGUCUAAUUAUCGCUUAAUUUGUCUAACUGAUAUAUGUAUUUCUCAAUUCUAAAAAAUAAUGUAUAAUAUUGUAUUACAUUAUUUAAAGAAUAUAAAAUAUGACUUCAUAACAUAAAUAUAUUUUUUAAAUUUUCUUUGUGGAAAUCAUUAUGUUGUUUGAUUGUUGUACGUGAUUCACAUAUUUGCAUAGAUAUUUGUGAUAGAUGAAUAACUAUAUUUUUAUUAUCAGUAAAUAAUAUAUAUUGAUUAUAUAAUAUAAGAAAAAUAAAAUUAUUUACUUUUUAAACAAACUUGUCUCAUGUUGGAGACUCAGUUAUAGACAUAUCAUAUUCGAAAGAGACAUUUUUACAGUUAUCAAUUUUCUUAACAUUGAAAAAACAAAUCUACAUAUCAAAACAAUAUCUCAUACGAUCUAUUUGUGGAAUAACUACUCUGAAGAAAUUGAAUUUAAGCAUCAAAAAGAACUGGAAAUGGAUGUGCAGAUAUGUUAUCUAAGUCUGCUUCACAAAGUACUAUUCAUAGUUCAUAUAUCAUUAAUGUCCAUCUUAUUUUUUUGUCCACCAUUUCUUAAACAUCUUGAAAUAACUGAUGCUAAUUAAUAAUAAAUUUUUUGCUGGAAAAAAAUCAAAUUUGUCUAAUUAUCGCUUAAAUAUUUUAUUAAUAUGGUCUAAGAAGCUUUUAAGUGAUUUCAUAGUUUAAUUUAUUAGUUUUUUUUGUUAAUUUUUAGAGGUUUUUGUAUUUAAGAUUUUUUUCCAUAUUAAGCUUCUAUUUCUUUCACAGAAUUGAUAUAUAUAUAUAUAUGUAUAUAUAUAUCAUAAAAAUUACCAUCAAAUCAGUUUUACUUAUUUAUUAUUUUGUUUUAACGAAAAUACACUUUUUAAAUAAUUUAAUUUAAAAUAAAAUUAUAUAUUAAUUUGCUGUAUUUUAACAAUUUCAUUGAUUUAAUUAAUUAGAUUUGGUGGAUAACUUAAAAAGUUUUCAUAUGAAUCGGGGAAAGCAAACUUAUGUUGUUAUAUUAUAUUUAUUUUGUGUAUAUAGAAUCUAUAUACAAUGCUAGUGUAAUAAAGAAAGAACAUUAUUUUUUUGUAACUUCAAAAAGAUACAUUAUUACAAUUUGAAAUGAAUCAAAAUUGAAUAAAAUGGUAAUUAAAUAUUUGUAAAUCUAAUUGUUUAGUUGGAUUCUCAUGAAAAAAAAAAUCGAUUGGUUAAACAAAUGUUUCAAAAUUUGUUGUGGUAUUGUUUUGUCUAUAAAUUAUAAAAUUUAUUGAAUUAAUAUAUUUAAUUAUUGCAUCCUUAAAUAAUAUUUUAUUAAGACAUUAGAAAAAUAUGUUUUGAGUUGUUUUGUCAAAUUGUACAAAAAUCUAUGCUUUUUCAUAUUUGUAACUUCAAAAAGAUACAUUAUGACAAUUUGAAAUUAAUCAAAAUUGAAUAAAAUGGUAAUUAAAUAUUUGUAAAUCUAAUUUUUUUUAUCUUGUUUAGUUGGAUUCUCAUGAAAAAAAAUCGAUAGGUUAAACAAAUGUUUCAAAAUUUGUUGUGUUAUUGUUUUGUCUAUAAAUUACAAAAUUUAUUGAAUUAAUAUAUUUAAUUAUUACACCCUUAAAUAAUAUUUUAUUAAGACAUUAGAGAAAUAUGUUUUGAGUUGUUUUGUCAAAAUUUUACAAAAAUCUAUGCUUUUUCAUAUUUGUCACGAAAAUUUAUAUGUUAAACUUACUUUUACAAAAUUCUUAACUUUGUCACGAAAACAAAAAUCUAUGUUUUUUCAUAUUUGUCAACGUUCUCACACUUUCUAAGAAUAUAUUAACUUAGCCACUUACUUUUUUUUUUUUACAAAACAAAGUAUCGGAGUCUUGAAAGUUGAAUUCAUAUUAUUGUAAAUGUACAUAAAAGUUUGUGAUUAUAUACUUAGUGGUUCUUUAUAUGUGUCCAAGAAAGUGUCAAUGGCUUAGUGGUAACUGUCCUAUAUAUAUAUCAUACCAACCCGGGUUCGAUUCUCACCUUCGCAUUGUUUUUUUUAUUUUUUACGAAAAAUAAAUGAGAUGACAUGGUAAUUUCGGGUUCUCUGAUUGGUUAAUUUUUCUAUCCUAUGUGGACACCCUCUCCAUGGCUUAUAUCCCCUUUUAGUAUAGUAUAGAUUAUGUGAUUUUGUAGUCAAAUUAUUAACUACUAGAUUUUUUAACCGCGCUACGCGCGGAUAAGAUAUUAUAUGUAUUUCACAAUUCUAAAAAAUAAUGUAUAAUAUUGUAUUAUAUUAUUUAAAGAAUAUAAAAUAAGACUACAUAACAUAAAUAUAUUUUUUAUUUUUUCUUUGUGAAAAUCAUUAUGUUGUUUGAUUGUUGUACUUAAUUCACAUAUUUGCAUAGAUAUUUGUGAUAGAUGAGUAACUAUAUUUUUAUUAUCAGUAAAUAAUAUAUAUUUAUUAUAUAAUAUAAGAAAAAUGAAAUUAUUUACUUUUUAACAAACUUGUCUCAUGUUGGGGACUCGGUUAUAGACAUAUCACAUUCGAAUGAAACAUUUUUACACUUAUCAAUCUUCUUAACAAUUAAGAAACAAAUUUGAAUAUCAAAACAAUAUCUCAUAUGAUCUCUUUGUGGAAUAACUGCUCUGAAGAAAUUGAAUUUAUGCAUCAAAAAAGACUGGAAAUGGAUGUGCAUAUGUGUUAUCUAAGUCAGCUUUAAAAAAAACUAUUUAUAGUUCAUAUAUCAUUUAUGUCCAUCCUAUUUUUUUGUCCAUCAUUUCUUAAACAUCUUGAAAUAAGUAAUGCUAAUUAAUAAUAAACUUUUUGCUCACAAAAUAAAAAUCAAAUUUGUUUAAUUAUCACUUAAUUUGUCUAACUGAUAUAUGUAUUUCUCAAUUCUAAAAAAAUAAUGUAUAAUAUUGUAGGGAUUUUUGCAAAAUUGACCUACAACUUAAAGUCAAACACAAAACUAACCUCCCUUUUUUUUGAAAAUUGGUUUUGCCCUAUUCACCCCACAAGUUCAAAUAAUUUACGAAAAUGCCAUCAAUUUUUUUUUUCUUUUUUUUUCGAAAAUGACAUUUUUACUCUCUCACCCUCAUCAUCUUCAAGUAAUUACAAGAUUGCCAUUGUCAUCAAUACCACAACCACCAUGAACAACCAAUUUGAAGCUCUUAAUGCUCCCAAAAUCGAUUUACCCUUCUUCUUUUUCCAUUCUUGUGAACUAAACACAACAUAUCUCUCACUUUCUCUCAACAAUGAGCUAAAAAAACCCAAGAUUUUGAUUCUAAAAUUUUUAUGGUUCAUAGAGUCAUAGAAGCUAACGAUUAUGGGUGGGUGACUUUCGUUUGUGAUUCUGUGGGCUUGGAGAAGCCUUAUGUAUGCUAAGGAACUUAUCUCACCAAUUUAAGGUAUGACAUCGAGUUUUUUUCCAGAUCUGUUCGUCAGACGACUUACUUGGGAAGUCGUCUGGCUGUAGACGACUUACCUUUCAGUCGUCUGGCUGUAGACGACUUACCUGGAAGUCGUCUGGUCAACGCAGAGGUUAUUUUUGCAAUUGACUUUGAAAUCUGUAACCUGAGACGACUGAAAGUUAAGUCGUCUACUAUUGUUUGGUUUCAAAAAAAAUUCCAAAGAACCUAGACGACUUACAUUUCAGUCGUCAUAGGUUAGUUUUGCAUUUGACUGGAUAAUUUCAGAAGUUUGACUUCCCCAGACGACUUACAUUUCAGUCGUCUGGCAAAAAUUAAAAUAAUAAUAUUUUUUAAAAGUAGACGACUUAAAGUUAAGUCGUCAUAGGUUAGUUUUGCAAUUGAAAAAAAAAACUUCAAGAUUUAAUUAUACACAGACGACUUAUAAUUCAGUCGUCCACCAGACGACUUAAUUGUAAGUCGUCCAGGACUUUUUUCCGAGAUUCUGGUCAAACCUCGUAAAUCCUGGACGACUUACAUUUCAGUCGUCUCGUGGACGACUGAAUUAUAAGUCGUCUGUAUAUAAUUAAAUCUUGAAGUUUUUUUUUUCAAUUGCAAAACUAACCUAUGACGACUUAACUUUAAGUCGUCUACUUUUAAAAAAAUAUUAUUAUUUUAAUUUUCACUAGACGACUGAAAUGUAAGUCGUCCAAAAAGUCAAACUUCUGAAAUAAUCCAGUCAAAUGCAAAACUAACCUCUGACGACUGAAAUGUAAGUCGUCUAGCUUUUUUGGAGUUUUUUUUUAACCAAACAAUAGUAGACGACUUAACUUUCAGUCGUCCAAAAUAACAGAUUUCAAAGUCAAUUGCAAAAAUAACCUCUGCGUUGACCAGACGACAUAUAGUUUAGUCGUCUAGACAACUUAGAUUGAAGUCGUCCGCGUCUUCUCCACUAGUUUUUAAGUCUUCUACAUUAGUUUUUGAAUAACUUGUAUUUUUAAGAGUGAUAAGUAACUUCAAGAUAUGUAAAACUCAUAUUUACAAAAUAUGUUCUCUUCCUUAGUUUUACUAAAUUUGACUAAGUUUUUCAAUGCAAACUUAUAAAAAAUAUGAUAUGCUUUGACUAGUUACUAUUGUUUGUUUCCAUCUCUUACCAACAUUCUUGUUUAUUAUGAUGAGAAAAAGGCCAUUGGAGUUUAUUAUUGCAUAUGAGAGAUCCAAAGAUAAGAAAAAGGCUACUGAAGUCUAUUAUUUCAUUGAUUUGUAAAUGUGUAAACACAUUGUUAGCACAUUUAAUACAUCUUGGAAAACAUUAUUACUGAUUUUACAAAAAAUUCACAACUAAAAGAGUAUACAUGCAAUUCACAAAACAGACCACAAACAAAACUAUUAUAGAUCAUUCAUCUACAAAGACAAGCUUGGAUUCCACUUGAGUAGACAAGACCAGACAACUUUUAAGAAGUCCAGACGACUUCUAAGAAGUCCAGACGACUUCCAGGAAGUUCAGACGACUUUGCCAGAAGACUUUUAGGAAGUUCAGACGACUUCCAGACGACUUUACAGGAAGUCCAGACGACUUUUAGAAAGUCCAGACGACUUCCAGACGACUUCCAGACGACUUCCAGACGACUAACAAGUAAGUCGUCCCAGAAGUCUUCCAGAUCUGAAAAACCUGCAUUUUAAAUCCAGAUCUGAAAAACCUGCAUAUUCAAAAACGUUCAAAUGGCUUAAAAACAGAAAAAAUGAAUGGAAGAUUAGAUAAAUCUACCUUUACAGAACACACAAAAAUACAUAUCAAAAAAUAAUUGAUCUACCUUUAAAUUAGUGGAAGAUGAGUACCAUCUAAUUAAAAACCUACAAAAAAAAAAUAGAUUAGUAACAAAGACAUGAGACAAAAUUGAAAAAUUCAUAUAAAGUUUGGUGUUUUCAAGUCAAAGAGAUUAGAGUGGGUUUGGAGAGUUUUAGUUUGGGAAAAAGUAAGAACUUUAUACAACAAGAAGUUACCAAAUGAAGAAAAAUCAGACAUAAGAACUUACCAAAACGCUCAGAAAAAUCCAGACAACUUCCUAGAAGUCCAGACGACUUCCUAGAAGUCCAGACGACUUCCUGGAAGUCCAGACGACUUCCUGGAAGUCCAGACGACUUCGUGGAAGUCCAGACGACUUUGUCAGAAGACUUCCAAGAAGUCCAGACGACUUCCAGACGACUUCCAGACGACUAACAGGUAAGUCGUCCCAGAAGUCUUCCAGAUCUGAAAAACCUGCACAUCAAAUCCAGAUCUGAAAAACCUGCAUAUCCAAAAACGUUCAAAUGACUUAAAAAUAGAGAAAAUGAGUGGAAGAUUAGAUAAAUCUACAUUUAUAGAACACACAAAAAUACAUAUCUAAAAUUAAUAGAUCUACCUCUAAAUUAGUGGAAGAUGAGUACCACUUGAUUAAAAACCUGCAAAAGAGAUAGAUUAGUAAGAAAUACAUGAGACAAAACUGAAAAAUUUAUAUAAAGUUUGGUGUUUUCAAGUCAAAGAGAUUAGAGAGAGGUUGGAGAGUUUUAGAAUGAUGAACAUUACAUUUUUGUUGCAGCCAUUUGAGAGGAGGAGAGAGAAUGUGUAAAUUUUUCUUUAUAUAGGGAGACAAAAAAUCCAAUUAGAUUAAAUAUUUUUGACUCAGACGACUUCCUGGACGACUUACAUUUCAGUCGUCUGGUGAAGAAAUUAAAACAGACGACUUACAUGUAAGUCGUCCAGAAGAGUUUAAUAUUUUUAGCGGGAAAUUAAAUAUUUUUAGCGGGAAACUAAAAUAGAAGACUUUCCAGACGACUUACAAGUAAGUCGUCUGGACGACUGAAAUAUACGUCGUCCGGGUAAAUUAUUCAACAGACGACUGAAACUUUCCAGACGACUUACAAGUAAGUCGUCUGGACGACUGAAAUAUACGUCGUCCGGGUAAAUUAUUCAACAGACGACUGAAAUAUAAGUCGUCCACACCCUAAACAUAACCCCUAAACUUAAUUAUCUAAUUAAACACUUCAUAAAACCAAAUCAAACUUGAAAAGUGUUUACUAUACACAGAAAUAAACACAUAUAAGUGAAAAGUAAUUUUUGAAAAAAACAUUUUAGUUUUCCAAAAUCUAACCCUAACAAUACAUACAAUACUACAACAUAUGUUUGCCAAACUCCUAAACCAAAGUAUUUCAUGAUUCACUACUUCCACUCAUCUAUCUUCAAAACAAAUCAAUUUUAUCAUAUCUUAAUUUAUAUCAGUUAAAACUGUUUAUAAUUACUUGAUUUUUAUUUUUUAAGCAUCAAAAUAUUUUUUUACAAGAUUUAUAAAUUAUUUUUAAAGUAAACUGGUACCAGACGACUUACACUUCAGUCGUCCAGACGACUUCCAACAUCUCAGACGACUCAGACGAUUUACUGGGGCUAUAUUCGUAAAAAUGGCUUCUGUUUUUUUGUUUGGUCACAAGGGGCUGAGCUGUAAUUUCACUAGGCUUUUAGGUUAGUUUUGCAUUUGAUUCAAGUUUGAGUAUAGGUUUGGGAUUAAAAUCAAGUUGUGGGUUAGUUUUGGCAAAAACCCCAAUAUUGUAUUACAUUAUUUAAAGAAUAUAAAAUAUGACUACAUAACAUAAAUAUACUUUUAAAAUUUUCUUUAUGAAAAUCAUUAUGUUGUUUGAUUGUUGUACUUGAUUCACAUAUUUGCAUAGAUAUUUGUGAUAGAAGAAUAACUAUAUUUUUAUUAUCAGUAAAUAAUAUAUAUUGAUUAUAUAAUAUAAGAAAAAUAAAAUUAUUUACUUUUUAAACAAACUUGUUUCAUGUUGGGGACUCGGUUAUAGACAUAUCAUAUUCGAAGGAGACAUUUUUACAGUUAUCAAUCUUCUUAACAUUGAAAAAACAAAUCUACAUAUCAAAACAAUAUCUCAUAUGAUCUACUUGUGGAAUAACUACUCUGAAGAAAUUGAAUUUAGGCAUCAAAAAGGACUGGAAAUGGAUAUGCAGAUAUGUUAUCUAAGUCUGCUUCACAAAGUACUAUUCAUAGUUCAUAUAUCAUUAAUGUCCAUCCUAUUUUUUUGUCCACCAUUUCUUAAACAUCUUGAAAUAACCGAUGCUAAUUAAUAAUAAACUUUUGCUGGAAAAAAAAUCAAAUUUGUCUUAUUAUCACUUAAAUAUUUUAUUAAUAUGGUCUAAGAAGCUUUUAAGUGAUAUCAUAGUUUAAUUUAUUAGUUUAUUUGUUACUUUUUAGAGGUUUUUGUAUUUAAGAUUUUUUUUCAUAUUAAACUUCUAUUUCUUUCACAGAAUUGAUAUAUAUAUAUAUAACCAUCAAAUCAGUUUUACUUAUUUAUUAUUUUGUUUGAACGAAAAUACACUUUUUAAAUAAUUUAAUUUAAAAUAAAAUUAUAUAUUAAUUUGCUGUAUUUUAACAAUUUCAUUGAUUUAAUUAAUUUGCUUUGGUGGAUAACUUAAAAAGUUUUCAUAUGAAUCUGGGAAACCAAGCUUAUGUUGUUAUAUUAUAUUUAUUUUGUGUAUAUAGAAUCUAUAUAUAAUGUUAGUUUAAUAAAGAAAGAACAUUAUUUUUUUUGUAACUUCAAAAAGAUACAUUAUUACAAUUUGAAAUGAAUCAAAAUUGAAUAAAAUGGUAAUUAAAUAUUUGUAAAUCUAAUUGUUUAGUUGGAUUCUCAUGAAAAAAAAAAUCGAUUGGUUAAACAAAUGUUUUAAAAAAAUUUGUGGUAUUUUUUUGUCUAUAAAUUAUAAAAUUUAUUGAAUUAAUAUAUUUAAUUAUUGCAUCCUUAAAUAAUAUUUUAUUAAGACAUUAGAAAAAUAUGUUUUGAGUUGUUUUGUCAAAUUGUACAAAAAUCUAUGCUUUUUCAUAUUUGUAACUUCAAAAAGAUACAUUAUGACAAUUUGAAAUUAAGCAAAAUUGAAUAAAAUGGUAAUUAAAUAUUUGUAAAUCUAAUUAUUUUUUUUAUCUUGUUUAGUUGGAUUCUCAUGAAAAAAAUCGAUAGGUUAAACAAAUGUUUCAAAAUUUGUUGUGUUAUUGUUUUGUCUAUAAAUUGCAAAAUUUAUUGAAUUAAUAUAUUUAAUUAUUACACCCUUAAAUAAUAUUUUAUUAAGACAUUAGAGAAGUUUAUUUUAAUUGUUUCCUAUGCUUUUUCAUAUUUGUCACGAAAAUUUAUAUGUUAAACUUACUUUUACAAAAUUCUUAACUUUGUCACGAAAACAAAAAUCUAUGCUUUUUCAUAUUUGUCAACGUUCUCACACUUUCUAAGAAUAUAUUAGCUUAGUCACUUACUUAUUUUUUUUUACAAAACAAAGUAUCGGAGUCUUGAAAGUUGAAUUUAUAUUAUUGUAAAUGUACAUAAGAGUUUGUGAUUAUAUACUUAGUGGUUUUUGUAUAUGUGUCCAAGAAUGUUUCAAUGGCUUAGUGGUAACUGUCAUAUAUAUAUAUCAUACUAACCCGGGUUCGAUUCUCACCUUCGCAUUGUUUUUUUUGUUUUUUACGAAAAGUAAAUGAGAUGACAUGGCAAUUUCGGGUUCUCUGAUUGGUUGAUUUUUCUAUCCUAUGUGGACACCCUCUCCAUGGCUUAUAUCCCCCUUUUAGUAUAGUAUAGAUGUGUCUCACUCCAUUCCUCUAUUUUCCUUAUGUAUAUAUGAAAAAUGUGUGAAGAAAUGAUUUUCGUACCAGUUUUGAUGAGGAAUGAAUUGACCAAAUGUUCAUACUUUUUAUUAACUAAAAACAAGAAAUUCAAAUUCUAGUUAUUUUUAACUGUGAUAUUUUUUUAAAAAAAAUAUUAUUUAAAAUUAUUGUAGCAAUCAACCAGGACCAAACUUAUAUAACAGGACCAAACUUGUAUAAAUAUGUAUAUGAAGGAAGUUGCAUUUUGUCUCAAAACCAAAAAUAUUAUUUGAUCACCAUGUCUCUUGCAAUUAGACUGAUGGGCAUGACACUCUCUAUUCAAAUCAUUACAUCUUUUCUCUUUGCCGCCACUGUCUCAUCAUCACCUCCCAGUGGCUUCACCAUCGACUUAUUCAAGCGUCGCCUCAAUUCAUCUUCUUCUCGAAUCUAUAAUACUCAGCUCGGAUCUCCUUACGCAGAUACUCUCUUUGAUACCUCCGUGUAUCUUAUGAAAUUACAAAUAGGUACUCCUCCUGUUGAGAUCGAAGCUAUCUUAGACACAGGAAGCGAGGUCGUCUGGACAGAUUGUUUGCCUUGUCAUAACUGCUUUAAACAAAGCGGUCCAGCAUUCAACCCUUUAGAUUCCUCGACCUACGAAGAGAAAAUAUGCGAUGGCAGUCCUUGUCAGUAUGAGAUAGACUACACAGACCAAAGCUAUACAAGAGGAACCUAUGCAACCGAGACUGUCACGAUCCAAUCAACUUCAGGUCAUUCCUAUGUAAUGCCUAAAACCACUAUUGGAUGUUCCCACAACGCCUCAGUCACGUUUCAAACAAGCGCUUCGGGCAUUGUUGGUCUAAACUGGGGACCUUGGUCACUCGUCUCUCAGAUGGGGGAUGACAUGCUAGGUCUCAUGUCUUACUGCUUUUCCGGUGAGGGAACUAGUAAGCUCAACUUUGGAGGUAAUGCUAUUGUGUCAGGAGAUGGAACUGUAUCAGCCAAUAUGUUUAAGAAGGAGGAGGAUCCCAAUCAGUAUUACCUAAACCUAGAUGCGAUCAGCGUUGGGAAGACUCGCAUUGAGACACUGGGGACACCGUUUCACGCCUCAAACGGGAACAUGAUCAUUGACUCUGGAACAACUUACACCUUCUUGCGCAAGACCUACUACAACAAAGUGAGGAAGGCAGUGGAAAACAUUGUGAAGGCGGAUCAAGAAGAUUCCGGGGACAACUGGCUUUGCUACAAAACGAACAACAUGGAUAUCUUUCCAGUGAUCACAAUGCAUUUCCAAGGUGGUGUGGAUCUUGUUUUGGAUAAAUACAAUACGUAUAUGAUCAGUGGAGAAACCAUUUGUCUGAUGAUUUUAUGUGAUAGCCGGACACCAACUUUUGGUAAUAGAGCACAAAACAAUUUUUGGGUUGGUUAUGAUCCCUCUUCACUAUUGGUUUCUUUUAAACCCACCAAGUGUUCUGCAUUGUGGAGUUAGACAAGACAAACCAAGAGAGUCAUUUUUCAAUAAUAAAGACCACAUAGAAUGGAUUUGUUUAUGUGAAUGAGUUGUUGAGUCCCAAUCAUAAUAAAUCAUUAAUAACCUUUUAGAUACAGCUCCAUGCGUUACCUCCAAGAACUCAUGCAUCACUUUUCUCUCUCUUCAUCCAUUGAUAAUGUAGGAAGAUGCACAACCUGUUGUAAAAUCUUGUUCGAAUUGAGGUUGGAUUAACUACGAUUGAUUCACGUUUACAAAUUUCUCCAACGCGUAAAGUCUAUUUUCUCCAACUGCUUGUUUUUCCUUCAGUCUUAUCUUCUUCUUCUUCUUUAUUUUAAAUUCACACACAAGACCUACUAGACCCACAUUUACAGGGGCACAUGCAGUGAAACAUCGGUCUUGACCCCCAAAUUUUUUGAUGGUAUAGUGUAUUAUUAAAACAUUCAAAACAAAAACAAAAAAAGUUAUUCGUACCCAAGUCUAAGAUUUCUGCUCCGUCCAAAUGUCUAAACCGAAUUUUUACAAAAUUGUGUGAAAUUCAUUAUGCGAAGCUCAUUAUCACGACAGUAAUUUAUACCUUUUCAUCAAGUGUUUGGAAUUGGUGUAAUUAUAAAUAUUGAAUAGUUGAAUGAUCUUUAAGUGUGUGUGUUUGUAAAAUGCCAAAGAAGCAAGUCUCAACAAGCCCUGGUUUUAAGUUUUAUGAUUGUUCAUUCAUGUGUUGUAACGCAGGGAUGACUUGCCACUACAGUACUCUCCCAUGUCUGAAGACUCUGACGAAGUCUAUAGAUUCUGCGAGGACCCAAUAACAAGAACUAGCUCAUCCCAACCCGACAGCCGCCCUACUAGUCCUGUUUCACCUUACCGAUACCAAAGACCUCUUACUUCAACAACCUCACACCAUUCCUCAAAUUCACAUACACUCCCUGCCUCCAUGAGCACUAC